GAAGAGGUAGAUGAAUGUUUGCAAAAUUCAAUACACCGUUUAUCGGUGUGGAUGGUACUCAACUGUUCCCCAACAAGGGUGGCGCACGAGAGUUUCUUGUUUUGCUCAACUCGUAUGCCAAAAUUCCUUCCACCGCCCAACAUGUCCGUCGUCUGGAAAGUUGUACAACUUCCCUAAAAUCCAUGACCUCGUCCCUAGGCAAAACAGCUGAAAAUGCUCCCGCAUGGAGCCAGUCAAAAUGAGACUAUCGUUAAAGCUCGUUCGUAAACGCGACCCUCCCAGCGAGCCCCGUUAGACGGAUUGCGGCAGUUUGGCACCGGAGGCGCGCGUCAGUGCUCGAAAUCGACCGUUUAACAUCGGUCUCGUAACCGGGGUUCUCCAUACACACGCCCGAAAAAGAAAAAAAACAAUACACUGAAACAGGGAGCCCCAUGUGUUUUAAACCCUUUUCUGCGGGUAGCUCAUUUGGGUGGUGCUUUUAGCUUCUCCAAAAGUAGAAGAAACGCUACCUUCACUGAGGUUGAGUUUUAUGCCGUGGUGCGCUGGCAGUGGUAACCUCACAUUGGGUACAUGAUUUUUGGGAUUUGUUCAAUUGAAAACUGCUCCACUUCAGACUUGGAGCGCUCGCUUGCCAGUGCACGUGCUGAUUAAUUUUAGUGCACGUUUUCCACUCCCGCCCAUUGCUUCAGCGGCUGCUCCGUCAUUGUGUUACUGUUUAGUGUGCCCCUCAUGUGUGCCUACCAUGUACGGCGCCCCAUAAAGGUGUACGCUGCUGCCGGUAAGGUGUAGCCGUUUUUCGUACCACCUCCUCCUCAUCCCCAUUGCAAGCACUGCUCUUUUAUGUAUGACGAAAGCACUGUACAUGCGUAAAGGCGCUGUGCGAAACUGUGUAGCUUCGGUACGGCUUCAUUUCGGGGAGGGCGUUCUUCAGUGGACUGGGGCAUUUCGAAGGCCGCAAGGACAUGAUAGAAAAAUUGAUAUUUCACAUUUGCACUGGUUUUGCCGUGGCGAGCAGUGCUCAACAGUGCGCACUUUGGAAAACAUGGGUGUUGAAAAAGGUUACGGAUGAGUAAGCGAGCAAAAACGGAGAGAGAGAGGUUGAGAGAGUUGGACGAUUUGUAAGGAGCAGUGGAGCUUGGAAUUGCGUAGUUUUGCAAUUGGUAUGAGGGCGCUGAAUGUUUAUUAUUCGAUUUAUUUAAUUUUUCGGUUAAAAUUACAACCUAAUUUGUCUUAUUUGGUUAAUCGUCACUAGUUGUAUAAAUUAAACACAAUGAAUAAUCAUACAGUACAUCUUUGUGCUACAAUUUCUGUGACAAUAAAUGUUCAACUAGGUAAAGUUAUCAAAAAAUCGGUACUCAAGCAAAUAAGUGGGUUCGUCGCCUGAUUCUUUAUUAUUUUGCUUUAAAUUAUUUAACUGUAUACCAACUCUUUUGCUAAUAAAAACACCAAAUGGUGUUUUCUUUUAAAUCAUUGAUCAAUUUUAUUUGUUAAAUCAAUUAAGUAGCUGAAAUUUUACUAAACUACGCAACGCGAAGUUCGCAAACAGAGUUUCAGUUUAGUCGUUUGCCUACACCCUGGCUGCAAACGUAAACCCCUGAGGUUAUGCAUUCCGCGCUACACUAUUCCGCCUGCGUAGCCUUCGCUUGACUGUAGCUUUUGAGUAGAAAACGACGGACUGUUCGGUCCCUCACCACCAGGUGGCGUCGACAACAAAAGCCAGCUUGCACAGUGACAAGACCGUAGGACUUAUGAUUUUUAAAAGUUUUAAAUCUUCUAUCAAUAUGACCGAAGAUUUACUCGCGCAGUAGCGUGUUUUGUAAAUGCAAGCUUAAUUAUAUUUUAGUUUAA